rnacentral:ncRNA from 1 species
GUGCUGAAAUGCAUGGUGGGAAACAAUGUGUAAAUCAUUGACUGUUCCUGCAACGGUAAAAACGAAAGUUUAGUCCGAGCGCCACCCAGCAUAGCCCGCUGUUGAACGAUGAUCAGGAAAAAUCUAGUUCUACAAUGAAAAG